GAUGAAGAACGCAGCGAAAUGCGAUAAGUAAUGCGAAUUGCAGAAUUUCCGUGAGUCAUCGAAUCUUUGAACGCACAUUGCGCCCACUGGUAUUCCGGUGGGCAUGCCUGUUCGAGCGUCAUUUCAACCAUCAAGCCCCCGGGCUUGUGUUGGGGACCUGCGGCUGCCGCAGGCCCUGAAAAGCAGUGGCGGGCUCGCUGUCACACCGAGCGUAGUAGAUUUUAUCUCGCUCUGGGCGUGCUGCGGGUUCCGGCCGUUAAACCACCCUUUUAACCCAAGGUUGACCUCGGAUCAGGUAGGAAGACCCGCUGAACUUAAGCAUAUCAAUAAGCGGAGGA
rnacentral:misc_RNA from 1 species